rnacentral:rRNA from 1 species
GCCGCGGUAUUCCUGACCGUGCGAAGGUAGCAUAAUCAUUAGUCUUUUAAUUGAAGGCUUGUAUGAAUGGUCGGACGAAAAAUAAUCUGUCUCUUAACCGAAAUUCGAAUUUAACUUUUAAGUGAAAAGGCUUAAAUAUAGUAAAAAGACGAUAAGACCCUAUAAAUCUUUACAUUACCUAAAAUUUAGAGCUAGAUAUAUGUAAAAUGUAUUUAAAUUUUUUAUAAUGUUUUGUUGGGGCAACAUAGAUAGCAAAAAUUAUCUGUUUAUAAAAAUUACAAAAAAUUUUUGAGUUAGGAAAACAAGAUCCUUUAUAGAGAUUUCAAGAUUAAGUUACUUUAGGGAUAACAGCGUUAUUUUAUUUGAGAGUCCAUAUCGAAAAUAAAGUUUGCGACCUCGAUGUUGAAUUAAAAUUUCUCUAUGGUGCAGCAGCUGUAGGAGAAAGUCUGUUCGA